UGGGAUCCUUAUUUUCUUCGGUUGAGUUUUGCAUACUUGGUAACACUGAGAACCGGGAAGAGUCAGCUAUGGCUUUAUCAACGGAUCCGGACACUGAUGAGAGGAAUCAGAUGAUUCUAUUACUCCAUCGUCUAUUUGUCUUGCAAGUGGAGACUAUGAUUGACAUAGUUGAGCCAAUUACGAGCUUCCUGGAGGGUUAGUGGUUAGGGAGUACAUAGUUGGAGAUGCAAGCUACCCUCUACUUCCCUGGCUCAUGACCCCAUACCGAGGACAGGGUCUCCCGGCGGCCAUAGCGGAAUUCAACAAGCGGCACACGGCAGCGACGACGGUGGUGCAGAGCGCAUUGGCGAUGCUCAAGGGGAGGUGGCGUGUUAUUCAGGGAGAGCUGUGGCGCAUUGGCGAUGCUACUAUUUGGACUUUAUAACAGUUUCAAAUUUGUAAAUAUGUUUAAUACUGAAAUGAAGAUUGCUUGACAGCUAGAGGGCAAGCAACUCGUGUAUGUAGUAGUACCAUGAAUACUUUCGCUGUAGUCUGCAAGUGCUCUCUAACUGAACAUUAUAUGCCCACUGACAAUAGUUGUCAUACUUUGUUGGUGUAACCUGCACCCAGUAUGCCCAUCAUGGCAUUGAGAUUUUGCUCCAGGCAAACACUGCUCAUUUAAACUGCAGGAUAAAGAUUCAAGUAGGUAGGAUUGU